rnacentral:rRNA from 1 species
GGGGAAUAUUGGACAAUGGGCGAAAGCCUGAUCCAGCAAUGCCGCGUGAGUGAUGAAGGCCUUAGGGUUGUAAAGCUCUUUUACCCGGGAUGAUAAUGACAGUACCGGGAGAAUAAGCCCCGGCUAACUCCGUGCCAGCAGCCGCGGUAAUACGGAGGGGGCUAGCGUUGUUCGGAAUUAAUGGGCGUAAAGCGCGCGUAGGCGGCUUUGUAAGUUAGAGGUGAAAGCCCAGGGCUCAACCCUGGAAUUGCCUUUAAGACUGCAUCGCUAGAAUUGUGGAGAGGUGAGUGGAAUUCCGAGUGUAGAGGUGAAAUUCGUAGAUAUUCGGCGGAACACCAGUGGCGAAGGCGACUCACUGGCCCGAUACUGACGCUGAGGCGCGAAAGCGUGGGGAGCAAA